ensembl:lncRNA
UACAUCAGUCUGAUGGAGGAGGCCGGUUCCCCUCCUCCAUCAGGCGAGGGAACCUGCCUAAUGAUCUAUGUGUAACCAUGCUGCCCCCUGCUGUUACACACACACACAUCAGCACAGCUGGAUCCUCUCACAGAUCAACACUGAGCAGCACAAAUUGCACACAUUUUAUUUCAAAAAGCUUAAUGCUGGAAAGUCUGUGUGGUUGUCAUGUGACCAGUACUUCAGUUAGAGAAGUUUUCUCUCAUCAUACCACCCCAUAAAGGUGAAGAUACCAAAACAAAAAAUAUUCUAUUUCUGCAAAGUACCUCUGCUAAUACAACAAAAUAUGUCAAAUCUGAAAAUAAUGUUUGACAGAAUUGUAUUAUUUAAUUUUAUCUCAUAAAUCGACCACUGAUCCACUGAUUUGAAUUAUUUUAGUCAUAAUGAGGAAUACUACUACUCUUACUAGUACUACUUCUACACUACUACUAUAGAAGACAUCCUGCCUGUUUGUACUACUAAAGACGUCCCACCUGGUGAAGAAGUUGGUUCUGUGAAUCUACAAAUAAAAGGAUGAUAUUAAUUGAUCUUAUUUGAUGACGAGGCAAGGCAAUUUUAUUCGUUGCACAUUUCAACAACAAGGCAAUUCAAAGUGCUUCACAUAAAACCAUUAAACACAUCCAAAAAUAAAGCAAGGAGAUUUAUAAACAAUUAAGAACAUUGAUAUAUUGAAACAUAAAAGAAAAACAGUCAUUAAAGGGAUAAAAAAGGAUACGAAACUACCAGACUAUGGAUGAGUUUUUUCAGUUGUGGGAAAAUACCAAACCAACAUCAUUCACAGCCGACGUCUGUGAGGUGUCUCGAGGCAUUGAGUUAGAACGAGGAAGGCGAGGCCGUUAAAAAGCCACGCUACCAAAGUGCAUUAUGGGACAGGAAGCAAACGUGGUAAAUCGGUUUGCACUCUUUUCUACAUACCAGUAUUAAAUAAUGUAAUACUGAUGUCAUGUUAAUAAUAAACAUAUAAUUAACAUAUUUCAUUGUUUUCAAUUAUUGGUUUAAAUAAAAAUGAAAGAAAACAAAGUUGAAUGAAAGAUGUAAAAAGGAAACACUAAAGUAUGGUUUACCUCAUGCACCACCUCGUCAUUUGCAAGUGCCUUCAUUGUAAAAAUAAAUGAAUAAUAUACAAUAAAUGUGAAUGGUUUUGUAAAUGUCUGAUAUUGUGACAGCCAUAAACGAAAGAAGCAGUUAAUACAAAACUCUACGCAUUGUGUUGGUCUGUGUUGGUCUGUGGAGUCGGAUUGAGACCAUGCGUGAGCUGCACAGUCCAGCUGCUCUGGCCACCAGCAGGAGGCUCUGUGGGGACGUGAGAGACUCCACGGUGAUGUGCGAAGAGGAGGGAGACCUCGAGGUAAUCUGGACCGGCAGCAAAGGUUACACAGGCUAGGACGCACUGUGCAGUCUGUGGAUUGAUACAGGGAGAGAGGACACACGUCAGCGUCAAGCUCAAACCAGAGCUGGUUUUAUUCUGAGCUGCGCAUGAGCGGAGCCUGUAGCUACGUUCUCUCCAAUGGAUCCACAGCAGCACCACAGCGCUCUCUACGGACGUGAACGUGUAAUACCUCAAUAUAACGUCUGAAAGAGUGCAAUUAUUAACAAAGAAAAAGGUGGGGGGGUCUGUUUUUGUAGCAUUUCCAACCUACUACAUUUACAAUGCAAGAAAUUUCCUCUCAAAACAGUUUUUUUUAGUUUGCAUGAUAAAGACAUAAAUCUACCUUAAUACAUGUCAGGUACAUCUUGCUAAUCUUGCUAGUCAAAGGUUUGACCCCUUAUACCUUCAGGACUGCCUUCAUUCUUGGUGUUAUACUUUCAACCAGGUGUUGGAAACAUUCCUCACAGAUGUUGGUCCAUAUUGACACAAUAGUAUCACGCAGCUGCACAUCUAUGAUGUGAAUCCCCCGUUCCACCACAUCCAGAGGUGCUCUACUGGAUGGAGAUGUGGGGUCUGGAGGCCAAUGGAGGACAAUGAACUCAUGUCCAAGACACCGGUUUGAGAUGGUAUGAGCUUUGUGACAUGGUGCAUCAUCCUGCUGGAAGUAGCCAUCAGAGGAUGGGACACUGUGGUCAUGAAGGGUUGGACACGGUCAGCAACAAUACUCAGGUUGUGUUAGGGAUUUAAGCAGAAGAGCACAUAAUGGUUAAAAUGUGAUGAACUGUGAUGAUUUAAGAUGUGUUUUUAUUAAAAUGUACCAUCUAUCAGAUGAUGUUAUUAUGCAUGCUAUGUCAUGUUUACAUGAUGAAGCUUUAAGCCAAAGAUGGGAUCAUUGAAUGUCGUAUUAAGUGAACAGGGAUCGGUCAGGUCAAUGAGGGAUUUCAGAUUUGGCCGUCAGAUGGAGCCAGGAGGGAGUCAUGUGAUAACUUGGACCACAAAGGAGACACGUUUGAAUGUGCAGCCAAUCACAUUCGGUUGCACACAAAGGACACACCCCGGGAGUUUUAUAAGUCGCUUUAGACUUGGACCAGGGGACCAGAAUGAAAAUAUUAUACUAUUCAUACUGUAUUUCACGUUCUAAUUGUAUUCCUUCUGUUAGUUAGUGAAUUGGUUAUCAUUUUUAAACUCGAUCCUGUUUUUUUCGUCUCAG